rnacentral:rRNA from 1 species
CUUGGUCAUUUAGAGGAAGUAAAAGUCGUAACAAGGUUUCCGUAGGUGAACCUGCGGAAGGAUCAUUAACGAAUAUAAUUCGGAGGGGUUGUAGCUGGCUUCGGAAACGACGCAUGUGCACGCUCUUCUGUUUUUCACAACUCACCCGUGCACCUAAUGUAGGAUGCUCCUCUUUCGGGAGGGGGGACCUAUGUCUUCAUAUACCUCUUCGUGUAGAAAGUCUUAGAAUGUUUACUAUCAGAGAGUCGCGACUUCUAGGAGACGCGAAUCUUUUGAGAUAAAAGUUAAUUACAACUUUCAGCAAUGGAUCUCUUGGCUCUCGCAUCGAUGAAGAACGCAGCGAAAAGCGAUAUGUAAUGUGAAUUGCAGAUCUACAGUGAAUCAUCGAAUCUUUGAACGCACCUUGCGCUCCUCGGUGUUCCGAGGAGCAUGCCUGUUUGAGUGUCAGUAAAUUCUCAACCCCUCUCGAUUUGUUUCGAGGGGGAGCUUGGAUGGUGGGGGCUGCCGGAGACUAGGACUCGUCCUGGACUCGGGCUCUCCUUAAAUGCAUCGGCUUGCGGUCGACUUUCGACUUUGCGCGACAAGGCUUUCGGCGUGAUAAUGAUCGCCGUUCGCUGAAGCGCAUGAAUGAAGGUUCCGUGCCUCUAAUGCGUCGACUUAACGGUCUUCCUUAUUGACUUUGACCUCAAAUCAGGUAGGACUACCCGCUGAACUUAAGCAUAUCAAUAAGCGGAGGA